GCCAGCAUGGUGUAGUGGUUUGAGCAUUAGACUAGGACACUAGGAGACCAGGGUUUGAAUCCCGGUUCAGCCA